rnacentral:ncRNA from 1 species
AGUCCCUUGCGGCCCGGUUCAGUCGAUCAUCGCAUGCUGAACCGACCACUCGCCGGGGACG